GUGCUCACUUCAGCAGCACAUCUACUAAAAUUGGAACGAUACUCAGAAGGGUUAGCAUGGCCCCUGUGCAAGGAUGGCACGCACAUUCUGAAGCAGUCCAUAUUUAA